rnacentral:rRNA from 1 species
GAACGGGUGAGUAACACGUGGGAAACCUACCUCUUAGCAGGGGAUAACAUUUGGAAACAGAUGCUAAUACCGUAUAACAAUGACAACCGCAUGGUUGUUAUUUAAAAGAUGGUUCUGCUAUCACUAAGAGAUGGUCCCGCGGUGCAUUAGCUAGUUGGUAAGGUAAUGGCUUACCAAGGCGAUGAUGCAUAGCCGAGUUGAGAGACUGAUCGGCCACAAUGGGACUGAGACACGGCCCAUACUCCUACGGGAGGCAGCAGUAGGGAAUCUUCCACAAUGGGCGAAAGCCUGAUGGAGCAACGCCGCGUGUGUGAUGAAGGGUUUCGGCUCGUAAAACACUGUUGUAAGAGAAGAAUGACAUUGAGAGUAACUGUUCAAUGUGUGACGGUAUCUUACCAGAAAGGAACGGCUAAAUACGUGCCAGCAGCCGCGGUAAUACGUAUGUUCCAAGCGUUAUCCGGAUUUAUUGGGCGUAAAGCGAGCGCAGACGGUUAUUUAAGUCUGAAGUGAAAGCCCUCAGCUCAACUGAGGAAUUGCUUUGGAAACUGGAUGACUUGAGUGCAGUAGAGGAAAGUGGAACUCCAUGUGUAGCGGUGAAAUGCGUAGAUAUAUGGAAGAACACCAGUGGCGAAAGCGGCUUUCUGGACUGUAACUGACGUUGAGGCUCGAAAGUGUGGGUAGCAAACAGGAUUAGAUACCCUGGUAGUCCACACCGUAAACGAUGAGUGCUAGGUGUUUGAGGGUUUCCGCCCUUAAGUGCCGCAG